rnacentral:rRNA from 1 species
UACGGGGGGGGCAAGCGUUGUUCGGAAUUACUGGGCGUAAAGGGUUCGUAGGUGGCCGGCUAAGUCAGACGUGAAAUCCCCAGGCUUAACUUGGGAACUGCGUCUGAUACUGGGAGGCUUGAAUGCGGGAGAGGGAUGUGGAAUUCCAGGUGUAGCGGUGAAAUGCGUAGAUAUCUGGAGGAACACCGGUGGCGAAGGCGGCAUCCUGGACCGACAUUGACGCUGAGGCGCGAAAGCUAGGGGAGCAAACGGG